UUCUGAGCAGGCCUAGGUGUGGUAAGUAGAGCUCGCCACAGAGGAUCGCGCCAAAAUAUCCAUCCCCUUUUUGAGAAGCUCGGCUUUCCUCUGAAGAAAGGGGGCUUCAAUGGGUGGGGAGAGAUGUAAUUUCGGGUCAAAGAGGGGCUUCGGCAGAGCAGAGAUUAAAAAAGAAAGAGGAUUGCUUAGGGAGGGAAGCGCCAGAAAUUGGGUUAAAUCCUAAUAUUCAAACGUUCCAGAUAAAGAUAGUAGCAGAAACGAGGAUGAAUGAAGCAUGUAGUGGCACUUAGCAAAGUGCAUGAUGAGUUAUAUGAUCAGUUGAACGUAUGUUAUGUUGCUCAUGUAUUUAAGUUCUACUACUUCGAAUUCUAAAUGUUUGAGAAAUGAUGAUGUAAAACCCUAUUUAGGGUUAAUGUUAGUUGAGAACUUAUGAUUAAGUCAUGUUGAGAAAUUUAUGUUCUCGUGA